UAGGGUUGUAACGUUCGUCUCCAACGGCUUUGUAACGUUAACAUGGCGUUACGCUCGUUACAGGGGCAUGACGGGCGUCACAAGCACUUUGUGUGACGUCCGUGAUAGAAUGUGUGACGCUCGUCACACAGUCUUUUUGGCAUGGUUCUGCUAGCGUUCUUCAGAAUAAUUUUGGUAAUUUAUUUUUAUUAUUUAUUUUGUUUUGCUUCAGAUUAUUUUAUUUUGCUAUUUAAUUUUCC
rnacentral:lncRNA from 1 species